AACGUAGGAGACAAACGUUAUCCGGAGUUACUGGGCGUAAAGGGCGUGUAGGCGGUAUGUUAAGUCUGGCGUGAAAGCUCUCGGCUAAACCGGGAGAGGUCGUUGGAUACUGGCAAACUAGAGGAUGGUAGAGGCGUGUGGAAUUCCGGGUGUAGUGGUGAAAUGCGUAGAGAUCCGGAGGAACACCAGUGGCGAAGGCGACACACUGGGCCAUACCUGACGCUAAAGCGCGACAGCAUGGGGAGCAAACGGG
rnacentral:rRNA from 1 species